rnacentral:rRNA from 1 species
UGGGGAAUAUUGGACAAUGGGCGCAAGCCUGAUCCAGCCAUGCCGCGUGUGUGAAGAAGGUCUUCGGAUUGUAAAGCACUUUAAGUUGGGAGGAAGGUCAGUAGCUUAAUACGUUGCUGAUUUGACGUUACCGACAGAAUAAGCACCGGCUAACUCUGUGCCAGCAGCCGCGGUAAUACAGAGGGUGCAAGCGUUAAUCGGAAUUACUGGGCGUAAAGCGCGCGUAGGUGGUUAUGUAAGUUGGAUGUGAAAUCCCCGGGCUCAACCUGGGAACUGCAUCCAAAACUGCAUGGCUAGAGUACGGUAGAGGGUGGUGGAAUUUCCUGUGUAGCGGUGAAAUGCGUAGAUAUAGGAAGGAACACCAGUGGCGAAGGCGACCACCUGGACUGAUACUGACACUGAGGUGCGAAAGCGUGGGGAGCAAACAGGAUUAGAUACCCCAGUAGUCCCUGAGCGGGCUGGCAAGGCGCAU